rnacentral:rRNA from 1 species
UACGUAGGGUGCAGGCGUUAAUCGGAAUUACUGGGCGUAAAGCGUGCGCAGGCGGUUUCUUAAGUCAGAUGUGAAAGCCCCGGGCUUAACCUGGGAACUGCGCUUGAGACUGGCAUGCUCGAGUUCGGGAGAGGAUGGUGGAAUUCCCAGUGUAGAGGUGAAAUUCGUAGAUAUUGGGAAGAACACCGAUGGCGAAGGCAGCCAUCUGGACCGACACUGACGCUGAGGCGCGAAAGCGUGGGGAGCAAACAGG